ACCCGACUGCUAUCAGAGUGGGACUAAGCCAUGCGAGUCAACGCAGCAAUGCGUGGCAUACGGCUCAGUAACACGUAGUCAACAUGCCCAGGGGACGUGGAUAACCUCGGGAAACUGAGGAUAAACCGCGAUAGGCCAAGGUUUCUGGAAUGGACACUGGCUGAAAUCUACAUGGCCUCUGGAUUGGACUGCGGCCGAUCAGGCUGUUGGUGAGGUAAUGGCCCACCAAACCUGUAACCGGUACGGGCUUUGAGAGAAGGAGCCCGGAGAUGGGCACUGAGACAAGGGCCCAGGCCCUAUGGGGCGCAGCAGGCGCGAAACCUCUGCAAUAGGCGAAAGCUUGACAGGGUUACUCUGAGUGAUGCCCGCUAAGGGCAUCUUUUGGCACCUCUAAAAAUGGUGCAGAAUAAGGGGUGGGCAAGUCUGGUGUCAGCCGCCGCGGUAAUACCAGCACCCCGAGUGGUCGGGACGAUUAUUGGGCCUAAAGCAUCCGUAGCUUGUUCUGCAAGUCUUCCGUUAAAUCCACCUGCUUAACAGAUGGGCUGCGGAAGAUACUAUAGAGCUAGGAGGCGGGAGAGGCAAGCGGUACUCGAUGGGUAGGGGUAAAAUCCGUUGAUCCAUUGAAGACCACCAGUGGCGAAGGCGGCUUGCCAGAACGCGCUCGACGGUGAGGGAUGAAAGCUGGGGGAGCAAACCGGAUUAGAUACCCGGGUAGUCCCAGCUGUAAACGAUGCAGACUCGGUGAUGAAUAGGCUUCGUGCCUAUUCAGUGCCGCAGGGAAGCCGUUAAGUCUGCCGCCUGGGGAGUACGGUCGCAAGACUGAAACUUAAAGGAAUUGGCGGGGGAGCACCACAAGGGGUGAAGCCUGCGGUUC
rnacentral:rRNA from 1 species